CCUACGGGGAGCUGCAGUGGGGGAUAUUGCACAAUGGGGGGAACCCUGAUGCAGCGACGCCGCGUGAGCGAAGAAGUACCUCGGUAUGUAAAGCUCUAUCAGCAGGGAAGAAAAUGACGGUACCUGACUAAGAAGCCCCGGCUAAAUACGUGCCAGCAGCCGCGGUAAUCCGUAGGGGGCAAGCGUUAUCCGGAUUUACUGGGUGUAAAGGGAGCGCAGGCGGCGUGCCAAGUCCGGUGUGAAAACCCGGGGCCCAACCCCGGGCCUGCAUUGGAAACUGGCGGGCUAGAGUGUCGGAGGGGCAGGCGGAAUUCCUAGUGUAGCGGUGAAAUGCGUAGAUAUUAGGAGGAACACCGGUGGCGAAGGCGGCCUACUGGACGAUGACUGACGCUGAGGCUCGAAAGCGUGGGGAGCAAACAGGAUUAGAUACCCUAGUAGUC
rnacentral:rRNA from 1 species